rnacentral:sRNA from 3 species
GAUGUUGAACGUGAAGGAUAACGUUGCGUCAGCAACGGCCCGUAGGGCAAGGCGAAGCCGAGUCAUCCUGCACGACCCACCA